CUAUCAGCGGCAAGGUUAAGUCGUAAGACGAAGCCGUAGCGAAAGCGAGUCCGAAAUGGGCGUACAGUCGCUGGGAGUAGACCCGAAAACCCGGUGAUCUACCCAUGUCCAGGAUGAAACGAGGGUAAAACCUCGUGGAGGUCCGAACUCACUACAGUUGAAAAUGUAGGGGAUGAGGUGUGGGUCGGAGUGAAAGGCUAAUCAAAACCGGGAGAUAGCUGGUUCUCGCCGAAAGAUAUUUAGGUAUCGCCUCGGAAAACUCUGUCGAGGAGGUAGAGCACUGGAUGGGCUAGGGGUCUUACCAGAUUACCAAACCCAACCAAACUCCUAAUGCCUCGACAUUUACUCCGGGAGUCAGGCUGUGGGAGCUAAGUUCCAUGGCCAAAAGGGAAAGAGCCCAGACCGCCAGCUAAGGUCCCUAAGUCGUUGCUAAGUGGUAAAGGAUGUGGAAGCACACAGACAACCAGUAGGUUGGCUUAGAAGCAGCCAUCCUUUAAAGAAAGCGUAAUAGCUCACUGGUCAAGUGAGUCCGCGCCGAAAAUUUAACGGG
rnacentral:rRNA from 1 species